GGCUGCAGAGUAUAGUGCUUAGCACAUUUGCUUUACACGCAAAAAGUCUGGGUUCACGCCCCAGGUGGAGCCA
rnacentral:tRNA from 1 species